UUCUCGUGGAUUAACCACGUUCUCCCUCUCCAUUUUUUCUCCAUAAUCUCAGUCUCCUUCUCUCUUCAUAUCGCUCCUUUAAUUGCAUAAUCUACCCUGAGAAAACACGCAGGAGAUAUUGGCAAUAACCCUAACCCUUCUCUAUAAAUUGCAAAAUCUCAAUGCGGGCUAAUCUCUUUCAUACAAUUGCUGAUUGGAUUUGAAUCUCAUCUUCGUAAUUACCUUGUAAAUAUGUUGCAUACUUAAUUAAAGGAUUUGAAAUGUCAAUUUUGGGUUUUUUAUGAUGUGCAUAUAUUCACUUGUGAACUGUGUGUUAGUUAUUAUUUCUUUUUUUUUAUUAUUACAAGAUUGAUCAUGUUCAUAUACUAACGAUAAUGUGUUACAGGUCGCACAAUCGAUAAUUUUUUUUCCUUUUUAUCACUUUUGUUUUCCUUUUUAUCUGAGUUUAGUUUUCGGUUUUCGACCAACACUCACCGCCCCAUCGGGGAUCCCAGCAUUUAUUUGAAUACUCGAUUAGUGGGAAAAAGGCAAAUCCGUUAUAUUCAGUCAGCUCACUCCGAUAAUCAAAAGCCUCUGGAUGUUCAAUCGCUACACCAUGCCUUACUGGGAGGAAAUAAAGGGUGUCUUGUGUGCAAGAAAAAGAUGGCAACUUCUCCCAAAACACUUUCUGGAUUCUGCCCUGCCCCAUUUAGAAAUCUUUUGGAAUAUGUUGUUAAUUUGAAGUUUGAUGAGGAGCCUACGUAUGCAAAAAUUUCCAUUUGAUCGUCUGAAAGUUCUAAUCGUGUGACGAGGAGCCUAAUCAUUUAGGUUUCGUCGAAUGCUAAUGGUCACACAUUCUUUGGUACCCACAAAGUUUAUUACCUCCUAAAGUCAUAAUUGCAUUAACUUUAUCUUCAAAAGGGGAAGGUCAAACUGAUUUCUUGACCAAACGUCAACUGGCAUGGGAGACUUCAUUUUGUAGCCUUAAUUUCAUGUUAAAGAAGAACAUUUGUUACUUAUUUUAUGGUUCACGAAGAGAACUCACAUCAUAGUACUUUGGCUGUUUGUUUGAAGCCGUGAAAAUGAAGCCCUUUAAUGGAAGUGUCAUCAGGUAGAUGUCGAGACCAAUGAGGUUUAUGCUCAAAUGACGUUGCCACUACGGAGCUUGGAAGAACAAAAAGAAGCAUUUCUUCCGAUAGAUUUGGAUGCCCCGGGCAAACAACGUACAAAUUAUUUUUGUUAAAUAUUGACUGCAAGUGACGCUAGCACUCACAGUCGAAUUUAGUUCACCGUCACUCAGCUGAGAAAGUGUCUCCUCCACUAUUAAGCUAGAACAUAUCCCAAAGAAAGUAGCAUAAAGUUGGUGCAUUUCUUCCACUCCCCCACUUACACACCUAAUUCUGGGUAUGGGUAUCAACCAUUUCUUAAUAUUAUACAAGACAGUGAUUUGGAGCUUGAGUGUCAAGAGGAUAUUUAGCAUACUUAAGCAGGACCACCCGAUUAGCAUGGAGAAGCUAGAGUUAUUUUCCGGGUCAACACUCAACCCAUUAAAAGAGAAGUCGCAGCUUAUGUUGGGUUAGAGGGGAAGGAAGUUAUGAGCAACAGUUAUCUCUAUUUUCCACUUUACUAUUUAGACUAGACUAUCGUUGUUUUGUUCUUUGUCUUUGAAAAACUUAGUAUUAGUUUCUUGUAUUUGGAUAUUAGCCCAUCUCAAGUAGGCCUAUUAUCAGUCGUUUUAAUUUUAAUCAAGCCUAUUUCAAGUUCU